AAAACAGUGAAAGUAAGGAAAGGAGAGUUUCCUUCUAGAGCCUGUUGAAAUACUCACAUGACAGGGGAUGGAAAAGAGGGAGUUCUCUGAUGGUCUAGCGGGUUGAGAUUCCUGUGUUCUCACCACUGUGGCUCUAGUUCCUGCUGUGAGGCAUAGGUUCAACCCUUAGCCCAGGAAUUCCCACAUACUGCCUAUGUGGCAAAAAAGAAAAAAAAACAAAUACAAAAAAACUCCAGAAAGAACCUGAAUUAAAUGUUGCAACUCUCAUUAAAACAAACAAACAAACAAACAAACAAACAAACCCAAGAGAGAACCUAAAAUAAACAUUGCAACUCUCAUUAAAAAAUAAAAGGGGGGAGUUCCCGUCGUGAUGCAGUGGAAAUGAAUCCGACUAGGAACCAUGAGGUUGUGGGUUCAAUCCUUGGCCUUGCUCAGUGGGUUAGGGAUCCGCUGUUGCCAUGAGCUGUGGAAUAGUUCGCAGACACAGCUUGGAUCCUGAGUUGCUGUGGCUGUGGCAUAGGCCAGCAGCUGUAGCUCUGAUUAGACCCCUAGCCUGGGAACCUCCAUAUGCCAUGGGGGCGGCCCUAAAACAGACCAAAAAAAAGGAAAGAAAUACAUUGACAUAUUUUGCCUUUUUAAGACACGUAAUUUUUCACCAAUUCACUGCAGUCUUCUUCCUACCUUGUGUAUCCAUCAGUGACAACCACAAAUUUGAAGCAUCUUGGGAUCUUCCCAGUUAAUGUAUUUGCUCCCAACACAUGUGAUGUAUAUAUGACCAUGUGUGGUUGACAUAAAUGUCUAUCUUUGAGCUGAAAGCAUCCCAGCCUAUUGUUAACAGGAAGUUUAUUUCCUAAAUCAGCAAAUUAAUUAAAACUAUAACAAUGCAAUUUUUUUUUUUCUUUUUUGGCUAUCCAGUGGCCUAUGGAGUUUCCAGGCUAGGGAUCAGAUGCGAACUAUAGUUGUAACAUAGGCUGCAGCUGCAACAAUGCCAGACCCUUAACUCACUUUGCCAGGCCAGAGACAGUAUCUUCAUCCCAGCACUCCCAAGAUGCCACCAAUCCUGUUGCGCUAGAGUGGGAACUCCCAGAAAGUGAUUGUUAAAUAAAAGGGAAAGUACCUCUAAAGCACAGAGCUUAAAGUUCGGUUUCCAUCUCUUACAGUAACACCAAGCUUCCCUAGAACACACUUCACAACUUAGGGCCCCCUGUGAAGUGGGAUGAGGUCCUGGACUUGGCCUGGAUGACUGCUGCUCUUUGGUGACCUGGGUGACCUUGCACAAACCACAGCUCCUCUGCCUCAGACCUUCACUGUAAAGGAAGAGGCCCAAACUCAAUUACUUUGGGAGCCUCUUUUUUGAGCUCCCAUUUGCUUAUGUGUGAAUAUGCUUGAUUAAACUGCAUGCUUUAACCUAAAUAUCCAUCAACAGAGGAGUGGAUAAAGAAGAGGUCGUACAUAUAUACAAUGGACUAUUACUCAGCCCUAAAAAAGAAUGAAAUAAUGGCAUGUGCAGCAACAUGGAUGGACCUAUAAAUUAUUGUGCUAAGUGAAGCAUGAUAGACAGUGAGACACAAACAUCAUAUGCAUCACUUAUAUGUGGAACUAAAAAAAAGGAUACAAAUGAACUUAUUUGGCAGACUCACAGACUUUGAAAAACUUACAAUUACCAAAGUGGACAGGUUGCAGGGGGAGGGAUGGACUAGGGGUUUGGGAUGGAAAUGUUCUAAACUUAGGUUGUGAUGAUGGUUGUACAACUAUAAAAUAAUAAAAUUCAUUGAAUUAAUAAAAAAAUAAACUGCAUGCUUUUUUGGCCACACCUGGAGUCAGCUUGUGUUCCCCUGCGAUGUGUACCCCAGCAUUGUCAAAGAAUUAUCUGAUGGAACUUUGUGCCCCAACAGGAUGUUAAAGACCUUUCCACACGCAAUACAUUGCUGUAUUUCUUGACCUCAUCCUCUCCCCAAUGAGACGGGGAGUGUCUCGGGUGUAGGAGCAGGAUCCUCUACUUUGAAUCCCAGCAGCCUAGUAAGGACCCAAUACAAGCAUUUAUAGCUGUGUAUGUGUUAUAUCAUGUUAUCGAACUAAUAUAGACACACAGGUAAUAUAUCAAACUAAUGUAAGUGUAUAUAUUUGUGGGAGGUGUAUAUUUAUUUUAAAAAUUACUCUGCUUAAAUAUGUAUAAUCUAAGAUAUAAUUUAAGAUGAUCCUUUUGUUUGUUAAGAAAUUCUAGGAGUGGCUCCUAAAAUUUCUUGUGGCUCAGCAAUAAUGAACCCAACUAGUAGUCAGGUCUGAUCCCUGGCCUUGCUCAAUGGGUUAAGGAUCCAGCAUUGCCAUGGGCUGCGGUGUCAGUCCAACACUGGCUUGAAUCCAGUGUUGCUGUGGCUAUAGUGGAGGCCAAUAGUGGCAGCUCUGAUUGGACCCCUGGCCUGGGAACUUCCAUAUGUCGUGGGUGCAGCCCUAAAAGACCAAAAAAAAAAAAAAAUUUUUUUUUGAGAAAGUCUAUUUUCGGGCAAAAAGAAAAUCUUUGACAUUGCAUCAAUGAACUUAAUAAUCAGGCAAGAUAAUGAUUCCCAGCAGAAUCAUGAACUCCAAGGAAUUCAAAAUAUAUAUUUAGCUUUUGUAAUAUUUUUGAACAAUGAAUUGGAAGAUUAAAAAAAGAUCACCCUUUAACAUCUGACCCCUUGCUAGAGCCCAUGAAUUGAUUCUAGAGCUCUGAACUUGCAAUUUACUGAUAUAGUGAUUUUUUUUCUUGGUUUCUGUCUUGCUAAAUACAAUCACUCUAUAGUCGACAUCUUUUUAUUUCAUUUUGUAAAGACCCAGUCUGAUAGAACCCCAGAAUGUCAAGUGGACAAAACAGGAAUACAUUCCGUCAAAGAUUCUGAUUUUACCCAAUCUGAGUGUUCUAGCUCUCUGAGAAGCAGUGGCCCACAAAGCCAUCUGCAGUCUCUUCCCUUUUAUCCUUGAAGCUCAUCAGAAGGAUAUGUAUGUAUGACUCAGUCACUUUGCUGUACAGCAGAACUUGG
rnacentral:lncRNA from 1 species